UACGGAGGAUCCGAGCGUUAUCCGGAUUUAUUGGGUUUAAAGGGUGCGCAGGCGGGGGAUUAAGUCGGCGGUGAAAUUUUGCAGCUCAACUGUAAAAGUGCCUUCGAAACUGGUUUCCUUGAGUGUAGAUGAAGUAGGCGGAAUUUGUGGUGUAGCGGUGAAAUGCUUAGAUAUCACGAGGAACUCCGAUUGCGUAGGCAGCUUACUAAACUACUACUGACGCUCAGGCACGAAGGCGUGGGGAUCAAACAGGAUUAGAUACCCUGGUAGUCCCUGA
rnacentral:rRNA from 1 species